rnacentral:rRNA from 1 species
UACGUAGGGGCUAGCGUUGUCCGGAUUUAUUGGGCGUAAAGAGCUCGUAGGCGGCCUGUUGCGUCCGCUGUGAAAGCCCGGGCUUAACCCGGGUCGGCAGUGGAUACGGCAGGCUAGAGGUAGGUAGGGGAGAAUGGAAUUCCCGGUGUAGCGGUGAAGUGCGCAGAUAUCGGGAGGAACACCGGUGGCGAAGGCGGGUCUCUGGGCC